GAGCGGGGCGAACGAGGCUCGCGGCCGGAGUCGAUCCGACCCGGCGGGCGCAGAGUCCCCUCGGUGGCGGCGGAUGCGCCGGUGCCGCCGCGGCUGUGACUGAGCCUCCCGCCCCGCCCCCACCCGCUCUCCGCCCCCGCCCCGCCCCCGCCCCGAGCCCGCGCCAGCGCCGGCGGGACCCGAGCUGCUAAUGGUAAGGAGUCUGAGGCCAGAAGAGAAACGUGGGUGGACAGUGGCCCAAACAAGAUGGAGCCCAAGUCUCUGACCGGAAUGUUUCCUAUUGCCUGUGGCAGGUUCCCCACCCUGUGACUUCUGGAUGGGGUCUUGCUCUGUCACCCAGGCUGGAGUGCAGUGGCUCCAUCUCGGCUCACUGCAACCUCCGCCUCCCAGGUUCAAGAGAUUCUCCUGCAUCAGCCUCCUGAGUAGCUAGGAUUAGAGGUGCCCACCACCACACCCAGCUAAUUUUCGUAUGUUUAGUAGAGAUGGGCUUCCGCCAUGUUGGCCAGGCUGCUUUUGAACUCUUGACCUCAGGUGAUUCGCCCACCUUCACCUCCCAAAGUGCUGGAAUCACAGGCAGGAGCCACCAUGCCCAGCCUAAUAUGCAGAAUUUUAAAGUAAAACUGCCAUUUGUAAAGACUGUAUUUGAAGAAGGGAGAAGCAUCCUCUCCAGUCAGACUCUGAGGACCAACACACACCAGCUUCUGAACACAUGAGGAUUCCAGGCCUUUGCUCAUAGGUCCAGAAGCCCUGCGUUGGAGUUUGCUAAAGAGGUCCUCCUGAGCAGCCUGCUUCCCAGGGUCCCCUAAGGAGCCCCUCCACAACCUCGAAGUAAAGGACAUGGUGGGCUGCAGAGACUCUGGCUGUCUCCUCAUGGCUUGCAGCAUCCAUACUGGCACUCACAGCUAGCUCUUUCUCCUUUCUUUUAUCCAGGGCUCUGGAUGAGCUGUGUGUGUUGAAACUGUUUCUCCCUUCAGCAUCAGGUAGGAUAGAAACACAGCUUUUCCUCACAGCAGCUUGCAGACGGCUACGCAGCUGGUGCCACAGAGUCGCACCCUGGUGCACGUUUGAGGAGAAGAUGCAGGGCCGACUCAUGAGGUUCUGUGGAGGAUUUUUUAGUGCUUUCUCUGGACUAAAUUUUACAUUAUGUUGAUAAUGACCCAAAAGAAAGCUAUAGAUAGGAAGACCUUGUAUAGCAAUAGGACUAAUGAUACUACUCAUAAAAUAUUUUAUAAUUCAAAUGCAAUAUGACCAUUGGAAAAAACUUUAUUAAUUAUGUUUUUAUUUUCUGUAUUUUAUGAUGCCCUGAGGACCCGGAGAGACUGCAUCUCCCAGGGCUUGCUAAGUCCUGGCAAUCACAAACCAUUUGCCUGCCAGCAGGUCUUUCAUAUGCAAACCCACCAGGCUGGAGCUCCUUUGAUCAGCAUCCUGCAGCCUGGGACGCUGUCUCCCUGCCCUAAUCACCCCAGGGCCGGGUGCGGGCAGCUAGAGACUGCCUGUGUAGCCAGAGCCCGCUGGAAUCCUAAACUACCCAGGCCUAAGCCAGCCCAGCCGCUCACCUGCCUCCCCAUUCCUUUUUGCCACUCCCAAGGAUUUUGCCCAAGUCCUCCUGUCAUCCCCGCCUCUGAUUGAGCCUGGUGCUUCUCCACGUGGCCCUGAGUGGGGUUCCCUCUUGGGAACCCUAACAAACUAUCUUUUCAAAGAUAAUCGUCUCCUGAUCUGUUGGUCUUGUCAUGUCCAAUUAAAACAAAUCUUGGGUACAUUUUAAAAUAAGGGUCAGUCACCGCCAAGCUUUCAAAAUUCCCAGAUUAUUCAGAAAUAUGAACAGCAGGCUCAAGCCACUGAGGAUUUACAUCCUCAUUUUGCUAAUACUUUUAAGACCACAGAGAACUUAUUCUGUGAGCAGAGGAGCCACCUGGAGGGUGGAUGGCAUUUAAAACACACUAGAAUAAAGUCCUGGGAUGGGAUAGUCAUGGUCUUGAUGUUUCCUAUGGGAGUUAACUCAAAGGUCUGGAUUAAGAUGCUUUUCUGGGCUGCAUAUUUGUGAGAGCAGUCAUCUGUGGCCCUGAAUGCAAGUGGGGAUCACCUCUGCCUGUGAUGAGCUGGCAAUGGAAGUGAUACCCUCUAGAUAAUCUUUUCUCACAGGCCUCUUGCUGCAGGUGCUCAGCCUCCUGACAUCCUUUCUUAUUACAAUGAGCACAUACCUGGAGCUGUGUUGUGCAUGGGCUGUGCUCACUCUUUCAUGGAAAAGCUUCUCAUCUUCCUUGCAAAAGGAUGGUGUAAAAGCUUUCGGGCCAGUUCACACCAGGGAGAGUCUAUGCUGGAAGCAUUCAUGCUGCUAGAACAAUUUGACAACAGGAAAUUGUCAGCUGAUUUCCUAAGCUCCUGGGAGCUUACAAGGGGAGUCCAGGAUCACUCCUUCUGGAUUCAAGCACUACACCAAUUCGCUUACAAAAGAGAAAGGUUCCAGGAGAACACGACUGAUGCAUAGAAACAUCACAGCAAACAAGGUCAUCAACACUUUCCCACAUCUGUGGGCUGAUCCUAGUGGCCCUUAGUGGAAUACUAUGCAGCCAUAAACAAUAAUGAGUUCGUGUCCUUUGUAGGGACAUGGAUGAACCUGGAAACCAUCAUUCUCAGCAAACUGACACAAGAACAGAAAAUCAAACACUGCAUGUUCUCAUUCACAGGCGGGUGUUGAACAAUGAGAAUAUAUGGACACAAGGAGGGAAGCAUCACACACUGGAGUCUG